rnacentral:rRNA from 1 species
UACGUAGGGGGCAAGCGUUUGUCCGGAAUCAUUGGGCGUAAAGAGCGCGUAGGCGGCCCGAUAAGUCCGCUGUGAAAGUCAAAGGGCUUAACCCUUGAAUGCCGGUGGAAACUGUCGGGCUAGAGUCCGGAAGAGGCGAGUGGAAUUCCUGGUGUAGCGGUGAAAGUGCGCAGAUAUCAGGAGGAACACCUAUUGCGAAGGCAGCUCGCUGGGGACGUAACUGACGCUGGAGACGCGAAAGCGUGGGGAGCAAACAGG